rnacentral:misc_RNA from 1 species
GAAGUUUGGUUUUGGAUGAUUGAAUUGAGUUGCACACUUUUCCUAGCCUUAAAUUGAAGCAAAUGUAACAGUUUUGGUUUCUGUAAUAUCUAGCUGGUUUUCUUCCUAGAUUUUGUGCUUAUGUCUUGCCUUUGCCUCUUUUGAAUUGGUUCAUGCUUUGCUGCACCAAAUGACUUAGGUUAUUUUUAGAAUAUACUGACGCUGUAGGAUGGAUAUUUUCACUCUUACAAUUGGUUUAAGACUGAUCUUUGUUGUGCCGUGUAAUGUAAUGUUGGUUCAAGUGGCAUUA